rnacentral:rRNA from 1 species
AGGAUAAACGCUGGCGGCGUGCCUAACACAUGCAAGUCGAACGUCCUACGCAAGUAGGGAGUGGCGGACGGGUGAGUAACACGUGGGCAAUCUACCUUUCGGUGAGGAAUACCGGCGAGAAAUCGCCGACAAUACCGCAUACGCUUCGCAAGAAGCAAAGUCGCAAGACGCCGGAGGAGGAGCCUGCGCCCGAUUAGCUCGUUGGUGGAGUAAUGGUCUACCAAGGCGACGAUCGGUAGCUGGUCUGAGAGGAUGAUCAGCCACACUGGGAUUGAGAACGGUCCAGACUCCUACGGGAGGCAGCAGUGGGGAAUUUUGCGCAAUGGGGGAAACCCUGACGCAGCAACGCCGCGUGGAGGAUGAAAUCCCUUGGGAUGUAAACUCCUUUCGAUCGGGAAGAUAAUGACGGUACCGAGAGAAGAAGCCCGGCUAACUUCGUGCCAGCAGCCGC